AGCUGCCCCAUCUGUGGCACUCUGCUGUGGCCGCCGAGCUGACUCACACACCCGGGAAGCCUGGUGACCUGGGGCAUGGCCCCGGCCCCUCUCUCACCCUCUCCUCUACUCUCCACUUGGCAGACACAGGCUGAAGAAGGCUGCAAAAACAAGGCAAUGAAGGACAUGCUUUGUCCAAGGGCUUUAAAGUGGCGGCCUUCCCCAAGUAAUUUUUCAAAGAGAGUGCUGGCUUGAAAGGGGCUCCCUCCCAUCUGCCCCGCUCCAGUACGUAGGGAGAGUCCUGCUGGCUCUGUGGGCACAGCGGUGGCCUCUGGUCUGCUGAGAAGCCACAGCUCACAUGGAGCAGUGGUCAAGGCCAAUGGGUCAGAAGGUAAACUAGGGCCAGUGGGGGUCUGGGCCCCUGGAACCGGCAGGACAUGCGGUCAGCCGCGGGCCGGCCCUCGGACCCGGCGCCUCCUUGGUUUGCUCUGCUGCUGGUGUGCAGGCUGCACGGUGGUUAAGGGCUGCGUUCCGGGCUACUGGGUUUAGCCACACCCUUGCUGUUCAGCCUCCAGCAAAUAGUUUCACCUCUCCGAGCCUCAGCUUCCUCCUGCCUCAAAGGGUUGUUGCUCCAUUGAAUGAGAUGAUGCAGGGACCCCCCAGCGGUCAGUUUCUUCACCGCCCAUUCACAGAUAACAAACUGAGGCUCAGAGACAGAAUCCUCUUGCCCAAGGUCAUGUGGCUAGUGGCUGGUGCUGCUGGGAUUCUAACGGAAGUCUGUGUGACUCUGGAGUUGGCCUGGUCCCAGGACAUCAGCUGAAGGACACAGCUGCAGCCCCAGGUGCCGGAUGCAGGUUCAGAGCAUUCUCCUUGCGCAGCUAGAGGGAACUCCUCCCCUGCAUGGGACAGAGUGGGGCAGCUUCCAGCCCCUCUGCCAGGCCGUGGCUCACCCAGGCCCUCCUGGGCCCACUUCAGCAGUCUCUGGACCAUAAAUGCUUAGAGGGCAAGCAGAUAUCUGCCUCCAGGCACUCCAAGAAGACCUUGUUCCUCCACCUCCUCCAUGGGUCUAGGAGAAGAAGAAGGGACAAUCUGGCUGCCCCUCAAGGCCUUUGUCUUGGGAAGCAGCUGGCCAUUUUCCAGCCAGACGUGACUCUGGGAGGCUGGUGUGACCCCUCAGGACUGGUGGUGAACCAUCAGGUCCACAUGAGAGCAACACCUGAUGGUUGCCAUGGCCGCUCUGUCCGGACCACAGCUCUGCCGCUCGAAAAAUAAAUGAGAGGAAACACAGCCUUGGAAGGAGAAGUUGGGCCAUCGGACUCCACGUGUAAGGUGCAGGGCACCUGGCCUGCUCCACUCUCUGCUAGGCACUGUGGGAAACACGCAGUGAUGGGUGGUGGCGCUCCCGGUGGCCCAGGAGUACACAGGGUACAGGACCUGGUUAGCCUUCUGCGGUGAGUGCCAUGAACAGGAGCAGGCAGCCGGGGAGGGCUAGAUGGGAAACGAUGGAUAGCAGAAGACAAGGAAGACACACAUGCAAAAAAGGGGCCACCUCUGCAUGGGCGUGGGAGUCACUGCUGCAUUGCAGGUCAAUGUGGAAGGGACCCAGGCACCUUGCUCACCACAUACUCCCUAAAGCCUAGAGCGGUGUUGGCAAGGAGUAUGCGCGCAAUAAGCAGUUUUCCAAGGACUCUGGUUUUGCUCAGUUGUGGGAGGGCAUGGAACAUGGUGAGUUUGGGACAAUCUGCACCAGUUGCUGUUGUCUGAAUCUGGGCAGGGUGGUCCUGGCGGCAGGCGUGUGGUCCGGAUGCCAUGGGGAGGCAGGCAGUGCACACUGGGCUCCAAGCAUGGAGACCUGGGUCCAAAUCCGGACCCUGUCACGGAUGAACUGGGUAAGUCCCCUACCCUCUGUGGCCCCUGAUUUCCUCAUCUGUGGAUGGGAGAGAUGCCAGUAUUCCCUACCGGUGCAUGAGAACUGAUGCACGUGUGGGUGAAGAGUGUGAGGCAAAAGCCUUAAGAUGUGGCUGAUAUUCUUAGCUUGGCAACACAGUUCGAAUCCUGAUUGGUACUGCCGGGCCAUUCUGCCAUAGUCCCUGGCUGACACAUCAGGCCGCCAAGUUUGGGGACUUCUCUCUGAGUUUCCUGGUGGGAUAGAAACUCAUCUCUCCACCCAACUCAAGGCUCAGAUGAGGGUGGAAACUCACAUUUGACAGCUUUCCAAGCCACCGCACCACUUGCUCUCCAAGAGAGGAUAAAGUGCAUCUGUCAUGGCUGCUUGAGCUGCAAGACUGAGCCAUCUUACCAUUGCUGAGAAGUCAACUUUUGGGGGACCUUGGGGUGGUCACUUGAGUGUCAGCUCUUAAGGCGCCAGUUGUGUUAAUUCAGGGCAAAGUUUAGAUGCUGGCUGUGAGUUACAGGAGGGCUUGCUGACUGGCACGGAUGUGCACAUGGGACUGUCAGAAAGGAACUCCACUUGUGCUUGGGGAAAAAGAAGCUGGAACCAGAAAGCCUCCACUCUCUUCUGAUAACCAGGCCAUGGCCUGUGUCAGCACCCCUAGUCUUCAGGGGUGAAGCUGGCCUUGCUGGUAGGGGCGGGGGCACUCCAAGGACCAAGCACAGCUGGGGCUGGCGCGGAGUCUGGGGUUUGAUGGAAUUUCUCACUCAUUGAAGUCCACAGGGAAAGUAAAGGGCCAGUGGCUGCAGGUUAACCAACGCACAGACACGCACACAGGCACACACACAAACACACACAUGCACACAACUCACACACAUUUUUGCCUGAUCACAUAUGCCUUAUACAAGUUGUAAAACAAAAUAAAAUCAACAAGGAAACAGGUCAGAACUAACAUUUGCUUUACUGAAUGUAUCUCAAGCACCUCCCCACGUCUGUGUGUGAAGAGCUUCUCAUUCUUUUCCUGCGAAAUAUUUGAUAUCUAUGCAAGCGCAUGUGGCAGAUAUGGAGACUAAAAGCCUCAUCACCAAGUUAGCAACAGCGACCUAUCACCCAGCUCCGGAGCCUGCCAUGGCUAUCCUGGCAAACCUAACCUCGGACGCCUCUCUCACCUCCUGUUUCCAGAAUGGUGAGAAUUAAAGAGCAUUUGGGGAAUUUCACGCCCAGUCUGGAGAUGUAACUGGAGAGGGGAGUCCCAGCCCUGUCUGGCAUCUCUGGCUAAAUUGUUUGUUCAAAGGGAAUGGGGAUGGCCCAGGGUUUGCAAAUCGUUCUUAAUUCAUUCUGAUUCCCUCCUUUUAAAAAACUAGCCCUGCAGCCCUUGGGGAAGGGGUGUGGGUCAGGCUUCAGGAGGCUGUGCAGGGAGGCCAGGCCUGGGGAAGCUGGAGGGAGAGACGCCCACCUACCACCCAGAGACUGGCGGGCCUCCUGCUGGAGGAGACCCCGAGGGGCUUAAAGAAGCCAGGCAGGAGAAUCAGGGCCCCAGCUCUUCUCCGAGAGCAGCCGAUCAGGAAUGCCUUCUCCCUGCGCCAGCUGUCACUCCCAAGGGGAUGCCUUCUUUGGUUUCCUUUUUAUUGCAGAGGGGCCACCAGGGAGUGGGCAGGAGUGAGGGGUGAGAGCCUGGGGGCCGCAGAGCCAAACUUCGCCUGAUUAAUAACCCAGAUGUUCCCGUCCAAGCACAUGGAG
rnacentral:lncRNA from 10 species